rnacentral:lncRNA from 7 species
AGUCAUCAAAUGAUUUGGGACCAUUUGGCUCCUACUCCACCUGGCCUACUGACAUCUGUUGGGAUCACGUGUUUGUUGUGGGACUGCUACUGAGAUGGUGACAACACCUGGAAGAAAAAGAAGGAAAGGAGAAAGCUACCUCUUCAAAAAGCAGAAUAAUCUCAUUGAUUAUCACUUUGAUGCAUUAUUUAUCAUAUAAGUGUAUACAGGUGGCCACUUUACCAGAUGGACUGCCAUUGCACAUGUGAAAUAGAAGUUGCUGAGUGAUUGCCUUUUUCCCUUCCUUGCUGUCUAGAAACUUACUUUCUUUAGCUGCCACAUGCACCAAUGGCAACUGGGGAAGCAAACACAGAAAAGUGAAACUGGGGCCCUUGGGGACACCUGAAGCAUGUCUGUGAGCACAGACCAAGUCUCCAGUGCUCUCAUCACCUGACAUUUUUAAUGGGCAAUGCUUUUCCACAAGGCUGCCUGGACAGGAGGGAUGCUGUGCCGCAUGACACUUUGGUAGGAUCUCUUCCCUACCCAUCCCACAUAGUUGCAGAGCUCUCACUAUACCACAAAGUAUUGUAUGUAUGAAAUGUGGAAAGAAUGCCUUUUAGAAAAGCAUGUAGCUCAAAGCAUGCAGACUUUACCAUCACAAUUGAUACCUGGAGUUUCAAAGAGGAAGGGCAGUGUUUUCAAAGAUGUGUUUUUUGAGGUUUGCUGCCUGGCCUCUGGCAUUUUGAGGCUGAUCCCAAGGACUGCACCUUACUGGCUGAGUGAGGCAUAUGGUCCCACAGCAGAGCGUGGCAUGUACAUGGUUAAAUAAACAGGUGUUUUGAGGCCUUGAAUUUGGGGCAGAGAUAUGAUAAGAACCUGCGUGGACUUAAGUCCUACUUUGGUCUCUUUGUAAGUCAUGGACUUUAUCAGGAAUGGUACGAUGUUAGUGCCUGAAGUCAGGAGAAGAAUGCAGAUGUGCUUUGAUAGGGCCUACAGUGGGAAAUAAGAAGCCCAACUGCAUGCAAAAAAAAAAAAAAGACCCCAUUGCAUGAGGAAAUCUCCACUUUGAAGGGUUUGCAUUUGAAAACUUAUAUUUUCUUCAGUGAACUCCCUGGAAGUGUGAAGGUAGUGAAAAUCCAUGGCUUAUGGCUUUUUCUACUGUCACCUAAAAGUUAGAGGAAGCAAAUUCCAUGUUAAAGCUUUAAGAUCUGUGCAAGCAAUACAAAAACAAAGUAGGUUAGUCUGCUCUGAAACAGCAUGCGACUUGUGGUGGUCUCCUGAGAAACACUUCCUAUUUCUGUUUGGAGAAUGUGUGGCUACACAGUGAUUGGGGGCCCAUCAGAAAAAGAUGGAGGGGAAAAAGGGGAAAUGAGUUCCUUCAAUUUCUUUAUAAGCUUCAGGAUUGUUCCUCAGUUUUCUGACAGAAGCCUGUUUUGAAUGUACAUCUGUGAGGGAUUUGUUAUAUAGAAUAGACAGGAGAUGCACUGUGUUUAUUUACCCAGAGAGAUGAAAUUCUCAAUUCCCGGUUGCGGGAUGUCCUCAGGCAUGCAGAAGAGGAGAGGGGGGGGAAAAAAGAGGGAGAGGCAAUUUCAUAAGCCAGGUGGUUUAACUCUGCUCUGAAAAGCUGGAUCCCAUCCUCCAUUAGUUCCUAAGUAAUACCAGACGAGUCGUGGAAUUAAACUGGAAGAAAAAUAGGAGUUUCUGAUUUCCCAGGUGCUCCUUUAAUACACUGAGGCUGGAUUUACAGAAGGGAUGAGUGUUCACAAAUGAAAUGUAAAUAUAAGAAGCUGUAUGGAGCAAGAAUCUCUGGAGGAAAAGAGAAGUGACAAGGCUCAAAUUUAUGAUUCCUUUUGACUGUGACACGUCUGGGCAUCAAACCCCAGUCUGCGGAGUGAGAUCUGAUUUCACUGGGGAUGACUGUGCUCACAGCAGUAUUUGUGAUGCGCUCAGACACUGCUGUAAUGACUGCAUUAAGAGUCCCUGAAGAAAUAAGUCAUCCUUUUUUUCAGUCUGACAACUUUACCAUAAAUAAAACACAAUUUAGAGUGGGGCUCUGCUGGACUGGGGUGGGUGAGUGUGGAACAAGCCUGAGUAUGUCUGUGCUGUACUCUGAGUGUGCCCAAAGACAAGACUGUGGUACCAAGCAGACAUGAUUAUGCCACUUUUGGGGAUGUUUAUGUAUGUUGGGGUGUGAUACUUCACCAAAUGAAUAAAUCCUUCCAGAACUGGUGUGGUGCAGAGACAUCUAAGCUGGCUCUGGAUACACAUAU